GUGCUUGCUUUGGCAGCACAUGUGCUAAAAUUGGAAUGAUACAGAGAAGAUUAGCAUGGCCUCUGCGCAAAGAUGACACACAAAUUUAUAAAGCCUUCCAUAUUUUU